UGGGUUGUAGCUCUGUGGCAGAGUGCUUGCCUAGCAUGUAUGAGGCACUGGGUUUGAUCCUCAGCACUACAU
rnacentral:tRNA from 1 species